GGGGGCGCCACGGUUUCGACUGAAGGUUGGAAACGCAGGCUGCAUGUGGAGGUUGAUCGGUUGGCCUCCUAAAAAGCCGAUCAAAAAACAUAACUGCAGACUCCAACGAGCUUGCACUCGCUGCUUAAUUGACAGCGACGUGGACUGUCGAACGCCUGCUACGGCAGUCCGCGACCACUAGCAGGCUGGCAGAGAGGCCGGGUAUCCGGGUCAACCUGUAAGACUAAACAGGAUAAUCGGGGAACCAGACUGGCGGACAGAGGCUGGCUCCCUUAAACACCAACUGGCCGCUAAACAUGUAGACGCUUGCGCGAAAAGUCUCCAGGACAGGGGUUCGACUCCCCUCGCCUCCAC
rnacentral:tmRNA from 1 species